GUUUCCAUAGUGUAAGGGAUAAAGAGCACGGUGCUCAGAAAGCACAGGUACGGGUUCGAAUCCCGUCCGAGACU
rnacentral:tRNA from 1 species